GUUAGGAAUAUUGGGCAAUGGAGGAAACUCUGACCCAGCAACGCCGCGUGAAGGAUGAAGGUUUUCGGAUUGUAAACUUCUGUUCUAUGGGAAAAAACAAAUGAUGGUACCAUAGGAGAAAGCCACGGCUAACUACGUGCCAGCAGCCGCGGUAAUACGUAGGUGGCAAGCGUUGUUCGGAAUGACUGGGCGUAAAGGGAGCGUAGGUUGUUUUUUAAGUUAAAUGUGAAAGCCCGGGGCUUAACUCCGGAAUGCCAUUUAAUACUGGAAGACUAGAGUGCAGGAGGGGUGAGCGGAAUUCCUAGUGUAGCGGUGGAAUGCGUAGAUAUUAGGAAGAACACCAGAGGCGAAGGCGGCUCACUGGACUGUUACUGACACUGAGGCUCGAAAGCGUGGGGAGCAAACAGGAUUAGAUACCCUUGUAGUCC
rnacentral:rRNA from 1 species